GUUCCUGAGCCUUGUACACACCGCCCGUCAAGUCAUGGAAGCUGGCAGCGCCCGAAGUCGCCCCGAUUCAGGGGUGCCCACGGUGAGGCUGGUGACUGGGACUAAGUCGUAACAAGGUAGCCGUAGGGGAACCUGCGGCUGGAUCACCUCCUU
rnacentral:rRNA from 14 species